UACGUAGGGGGCGAGCGUUAUCCGGAUUUACUGGGCGUAAAGCGCGUUAAGGCGGUUGGCAAAGUUGGUUGUGAAAUCUCUGGGCUCAACCCAGAAAUUGCGACCAAUACUGGUCGACUAGAGUGCAAGAGAGGAAGGUGGAAUUCCCGGUGUAGUAGUGAAAUGCGCAGAUAUCGGGAGGAACACCGGUGGCGAAGGCGGUUCUCUGGGCCUUACCUGACGCUGAGGAGCGAAAGCGUGGGGAGCGAACAGG
rnacentral:rRNA from 1 species